UCUUUGUCUACGGGAGAAAGCUCAAAAUAAACAAAAGAGAGAGCAGCUGGAACACUUGUGGAAGGACAUGGGCAGCGUGUGUGUGCAGGGCAGCACACUGGCAGGACCUGAUGCUUCUGCAAUGGGUCCCUCUGAGCUAAUACUAACAUGAGGAACUCUCGAUGAAGAGCAAGAAGAGAGGGAGAGUGACGCUGAUGGCAUUGACCACGAAGGUAAGGGAAUGAGGUCUAAAAGCUGCCUCUCAAGAAAUCCCCUCUAUAUUUCAUGUCCUGGAUGGACUGUAAGGAGAGCCUAGAAAACAAGCAAACAUUCAGUCACCUGACGUGUCAGAAUCUGUAGCAGAAGCUCAGCUGCAAUGGUCAGUGCAGGGAUAUCACUCUGUAACCUUUGUGAAAGUUCAAUUGUAAAUUUUCUAUUCAAGUAAUUAAUAGGUGUAUAACACACAUAAACCAGAGAACUCGUUAGGCUUGGGGCAUGCAGUGACCUCUGAACCUGAUUGAUGCACAGAUGUGUCCAUCAUCUUUUUGGCCUUACAGUUUCUGCCCCUGGCUCUCUUCCCUUUUCCUGUGACUGUGGUCUUGGAGCAAUCUUCUAAGUUGUUACAGUGUGAUUUUUCUCUUCUAUAGCUCACAGACUUAAUCUUCAUUCUUUCCCUGUUCCACUGAUGGGUAGGAUCACUUAUUUCCUUUGCCCUGUAAUGUAGCUGAAGAUGGAAUAGACUUUCUAUGUUGCUUUGGCUAUCCUGAUUCUAGCUUUUUUUCAGAAACACAAGUAGAACAAGUACUGAAAUAGCGCUGAACUUCAGCAGCAGCGGGGACUGCGCAGGAGAAGGAGGGUGGGCAGCGGGCCUGGGGCAGGCAGGGGGAUGGGGGUGGGGGCGGGCACUUAAAAGAUUUCGGCCAGGGAGCUGAUCUCAGCCAGCACCCAGUCGGGGCAGUCUAAGUCCCCGUAGAAGCAGAACUGCUGCGUGGGGAGAGGCGGUCAGAGGCGCACUGCCGCUCUGCGUCCUCCCCGCUCCCCGCCGCCGACUCCCGGCCCACCACGUCGCCGCUGCUCCACGGUCCCCCAUGCCGCACAGUCCGCCUUCGCGAUCCGGAACCGCCCCGUGUGCCGGUGGGGGGCUCCCCGAGGGGCUCUGCAGGGGCCUUGGGGCCGGGACCCCGGGGGUGCAGCCCGACCAAGGGGCGGGGCAGGGGACGGGGUCCCGGGAGCGGGACCCGGGACGGCCACGGACCCGCGGGAAGGGCGCCUCCGACACGGCCCUAGUCCCUCCUCCUGACCACCCGAGCACCUCCCGCCACCCCGCCGGCUCCAAGCCCCGCCAAUCCGGGCCCGAGGCAGAGUCUGGCCCGCCAAUCCCGGGCCGCCUUUCUCGGCGCCGUCCAAUCACAGCCCGCCUUUUCAAUCCGGCAGCGGUCCCCCAAGCUCUGCCCGCUCAGCCGCGGCGCGGCCCCUCCGAGCGGCACCGUCCCCCCGUUCCCCUCAGGCGCUGCUGGGACCACGGAAGGGCGGUGGGAGCUCCGCGGUCACGUCCCGUCCGGGAGCUCUCCCAGGAGAAGGAGAGGGAGGCGGGGAGCGGGCGGGAGGGGCUCCGGGAGCGGGGCCUGCGGGACCAGCGGGGUUCUCGGGAACGGGCGGGCGGGGAUUGGCUGGGCUGGCACGAGGGGGGCGGGGCCGUGCGGGCCGCGGGCUAUAAAUAGCGGAGGGGGAAGCGGGGGGGGGGCAGUUCGGCGGCGGAGGUGGAAGCGGCGCUGGAGCGGCGGGAGCCGGGACGAGAUCGGCGGUGAGCUGGGGCGGGACUCCCGCGGCUGCCGCUCCCGACGUGCAGCCCGGGCCUGCAGAGAUACCCAGGAGCAGAUUUAGGCAGAGGCAGCAGAAAGCUGAGAACGUGGAGCUCAGGCAGCAGAGCUGGUGGAGACAUAAAGACGGUAGGACUGUGGGCAGAACAAGGGUGGGGCUGGAUUAGGGAGCAUGGACCUGGCAUAAGUACUGCAGGGAUGGAGCUGGGAUAAAAAUAGUCAGGCCUGGCCUGGAAUGUGGGCUUGAGAGCUGGGGUGGAAAACUCAGACCUUUAAAAAAAGAAAGAUGCUAGGAUUGGAACGUGCAGCAGCUUUACCGGGAGCUGACAGCAGAGCUGGCAGAGAAAUAAAGGUUGUGGGUCUGGGUAUGGGAUAGGGAGAGUGGUGCUCGGAAAGGGACUGUUGAGCAGGGAUAGGGACUGUGGC